rfam:Desulfovibrio sp. An276 An276_contig_3, whole genome shotgun sequence.
GUCAACUACCCCGGCCUCAAAGGCCGAGGCUUGCAAAAGCCUGGUUGACUAGCCUCAGUCUGCCGAAAGGCGACUACGUUGGUUGGGAACAUGUAGGCACCGCAGGAUGUUACUUCUAGUCCGGCGCGCUGCGGUCAGUCGUUAAAUGCCCUAAGGGUUGUGGGCUGUGCGGCUGACAUACAAAACCCCUUCCAACAUUGGCGAAGGAGACUUUAA